AGGCCUUUGGCGCAAAGGUAGCGCGUCCGCCUCCUAUUCGUAGCGAGCGGAAGGCUGUGGGUUCGAGUCCCAUGAGGCCUG
rfam:Magnaporthe poae ATCC 64411 unplaced genomic scaffold supercont1.185, whole genome shotgun sequence.